CUGCGUCCAACCUGAUCGCCACCUAACUACAGUGCCUGGCACGUAGCGAGCGCUUAACGGACGCCGUCGUCGUCGACGCCGUCGUCGUCCUCGCCGUCGUCGUCACGACGUGCCCUUGGGGGACGCCUCUAACCCGGGGGUGUCGUCUUUCUCGGAGACCGUAAGGCCGGCCCCUAGUUCCGGCGGGUCGCUUCGACGGGCUCCCCUGAAUGGUCUCGCCCCUCUCCUCCCCCGAGGCCCGGGCGAGACGCGGGAAACGUGCGGGUUGAUCACGUGGUCCAGUGCAGCGGGCCGGCCCGCCGGGACCCCGCCAGCUCGCCGGACCCACCGAGUCUCGGGUGCCGAUCGUAAAUCGCGGCCGGGUGUUGCGGGGCCCGGAUCCCGAUCGCGGAAAGGGCCCCGCCGAGGUCGAAAGAGAUCGCGUCGAAGCUCAGGACUUCCGGAGACGGAAGGGCCUCGAGAGCCACGGAGCGCCAUCUUUACGUGAUGCAAGGGCGAGGGUCGGUUUUUGCCGAGAAUGCAGGAUCUCAGUUCCCUCCCGUUCUCGGAGAAGGCGUUUUUACUAUCCUUUCCCCGUCCCCGACGGUCUCGGGGACCAACUCUGUGCAGAUCACUGUAUUAAGCGCUUCGGAGAGUACAAGUGACAAGCGUCGGUAGAACCAUUUCCUGCCUCUCGUUUCCGGUGAAUGGUGCGGCGAUAGGGAGAGGCCAAGUUGGUUUGCGGCGAGGCGCCCCGGUGCGAGGCGAUCGGGGUUCAGAUGAAUCGGGCACGGUCACUUUAUCACACGGCAGACGCGGGCGUGUUGGCGACUGGAGCCGGGAAGCCGUUGGCCCCGGGCACCUUGGUCGGAACCGUUCCACGGACCGGGACGGCGCGGGGAGAUGGGAAUGAGCCCAGCGAAACCGUCUCUCGCCGUGGAGGAGGGCGCCUCUGGACACAGCGGAGACAACAGCCGGGGACCGGAGAGAAGGGUGUCCGUUCGCUCGUUCAGCUUCUCCUUUCCCCCGCCUAGCCCGGACUUAACCCUUGGAAUCGACGCUCGAGGUGAUCUCGGUCCGAUUUCAGAGGAACCGUCGUCUUCCUCCCCUACACCUUCCGUAAUCGUUCCCUUUCCUCUGACGUCGACCGCCGUCGUCAUCGAACCCUCCGUGACCGAAGGGUACCAGGGUAGCUGGAGUCGGUUUCCGACGUCAGCAUCCGAUUCCGGGCUGAUUAUCUUGCAUCUGUCCCAUGUACUAAACUCUUCACGGUUACUAUUGUGAUCAGACUUGUUUUCAAGUCCCUUUUCUUUUGCAGGUAGAUGGUUGCUUUAUUUAAUCUCCCCGCAGCUGUUUUGGGGACCCUUUUUUUUCAGUUUGGGUAUAAAGUAAUUGCUAUUAAAGUUUUUUUUUUUAAAGAAUCUCACACUUUCCCUUCUAAAUGAUCGUGUAAGGAGGACUCUCUUAGCUCCCUCUAGACAGUAAGCACGUUGUAGGCGGGGAAUGGUUGCCUGUUAAUUUCUGUAUUGUACUCUCUCAGGUGCUUAGUCCAGCGCUCAGCACAGAGUAAACACUCAAUAAAUUCGAUUGAA